rnacentral:ncRNA from 2 species
UUACAUUUGCACCGAUUUGGUUUUCCCGCUUCAAGCGGGAGAUUAAAAGGGAAGUCAGUCAAAAUCUGACGCUAUCCCCGUAGCUGUAAGCUCCUUUUAUGUUGUUUAAUCUUCAUGCCACUGUCAUAAGACGGGAAGGCAUUGAACAACGGAGUAAGCCAGAAGACCUGCCACAUCAGUUAACAACAU